GCGGGGAAUAUUGGACAAUGGGCGAAAGCCUGAUCCAGCCAUGCCGCGUGUGUGAAGAAGGUCUUCGGAUUGUAAAGCACUUUAAGUUGGGAGGAAGGGCAGUAAGUUAAUACCUUGCUGUUUUGACGUUACCAACAGAAUAAGCACCGGCUAACUUCGUGCCAGCAGCCGCGGUAAUACGAAGGGUGCAAGCGUUAAUCGGAAUUACUGGGCGUAAAGCGCGCGUAGGUGGUUCAGCAAGUUGGAGGUGAAAUCCCCGGGCUCAACCUGGGAACUGCCUCCAAAACUACUGAGCUAGAGUACGGUAGAGGGUAGUGGAAUUUCCUGUGUAGCGGUGAAAUGCGUAGAUAUAGGAAGGAACACCAGUGGCGAAGGCGACUACCUGGACUGAUACUGACACUGAGGUGCGAAAGCGUGGGGAGCAAACAGGAUUAGAUACCGUAGUCC
rnacentral:rRNA from 1 species